rnacentral:lncRNA from 1 species
CUCCAGCGAGGUGCCAGUGACUUACAUCUAGUUUGGUACUUGUGUGGAGAAGGGUCCUGGUCGAGUAACCUGCCCACAGCCUUCCCUGGAAACUGAGUGUGAUCUUCUUACUCCCACACUGUCUGGAGGGCUCCACUCCUGAGGGAUGCUCAGCCUGGAUUGGAGAAUGGAAUUUUGUUAGCACUGCAGUAUCAGUGAAGAGUUCCCACAGCCAUUAGACCAGCACAGUUGAAAGUCUUCCACACAGGUCUUGAUAUUUGUAGCACUUUGGCCAGGCAAAGGAAGGAGCAGGCACCAGUACCAACACACGAAUUAGAUACCACACAGCUCAACUUCCUUCCUUCUGCCCCAGUGAGAUAUGAGACCACAGGUUCCUGUUCCUCACCUCCUAGCAACUCCUCCACCUUGGGCACCAACACCACAGCACUUCUGACCUUGUCUAUCUAGCCUUCCUCUCAUGAGGAUUUGGUUUCCUGAGCCAACCAGAGUCUGAAAACUACAUAAACAGUUUGGACACUUGCCUUUAAUCCAGCACUUAAGAAGUAGAGGAG